AAAAACCACAAACUAGGG
rnacentral:misc_RNA from 1 species